rnacentral:lncRNA from 1 species
CAGUUUCAAGCUUUCUUAUUACCUUCCCUCCAUUCUUCUGUAAGUUCAUUAAUUGUUGCUUGGGAGAAAAUGGGACCAGGUGGGCCAGGAGGGCCACCGGGGCCAGGUGGACCAGGAGGGUCUCCAGGGCCAGGAGGACCAGGAGGGCCUCCAGGAUGGGGCGGUCCUGCACCCGGACCAGGAGGGCCACCGGGAUGGGGCGGUCCUCCACCCGGACCAGGAGGGCCACCGGGGUGGGGCGGUCCUCCACCCGGACCAGGGGGACCACCGGGGUGGGGCGGCCCUCCGGUCGGACCAGGGUUUUUUGGUGGCUUCUGUGAUGUAAUUGGUGCUUGGUAAGUGAAUUAGGACUUUGUAUCUGAAUUAUGAAUGAAAAUUGUUUCAAGUCGUUUAACUGGUAUUUUGGUUAGUUGUUCUGAGUGUCAAAAAGCUCAUAUUUUACUACAUUGUUGUAAAGCUUUCUAAUUUGAGAUGAGUGUUGCAUAUGAAUAUGAAAAUGAAUACACUGUGUUUUUUUUUUUUUUGGGAAAUCGUAUUCACAUAUUUUUGGUAUUUAUAUCCAAAUAAGAAGAUUAGUUGGGCAUGGGGCAUCUGUUUGAAUGCUGAAAGGUUUUGUGUUUAUUUUUGCAGUGUCAACUUCCUGUGCUGCUGCUGGCUGUUUCGAGACUGUUUUGGUGGUCCAAUGGGUCCUCCUGGGCCACCUGGACCUCCACCACCAUAGUUAGAUGCUUUCUUGCUCCUUCAUAAAGAGACCUCCUAUCUGGGUUUAAACUUGCUAUCUAAUUACAAUAUUUAUGUAAGAAUUGUUUGCUUUUUAGUAGUAGAAAUUAAUAUGAAUGAAAUCUGUUGAGCGCUUAUUUUUCAGUCUGCGAUUCAUCCAUAAAUAUAUAAGGCACAGUCCAUUGAUGUGAUGUGUUAAACAUAGAUAAAUUACAUGAUAAAUGCUCUAGCAAAGGCUUGCCAAAUUAUGGGUGAACUAUUGGGGAGCUAACCAGCCUCGCCAACUAGGACGAGUGGGGAGCACACGCGUGGGGCGAACAUGACUUACGUAGCGUGUUGUGUAUUAUUUGUAUAACAAAAUCAUUCUCAAUAAAUUGAUCUUUAAAUCUUGGUUUUCUUGCAUGAGUUUAAUUUUUAUCACAUCAGUAAAAAAUGUUGUAUUUAAUGGCUGAACUAUAAACUGUGUUAAUAUUCAUUCCUAAUAAACAAAACCUAGAUGAAAAAUAAUUGCAAUAUGUUGGAACCUUGAUUAUAAGUUAUGUAUAUUUUUAUUUCUCAGUUGUUAAAGCUCUCUGUGUUUCAAACUGUACACUGUUUAGUUUAAUGGAGACUAGACAACAUAUGAAUGGGGGGAUACACAUUUUUAACCUUUUUCCUACCCAAAACUAUCUUUAUUUGCAGUGGACACCAGGCUACUUGGGGUGUUUGUUAGAUAGUCGAGUUUUACUCGAAAAAUAUUCGAAUUCGAUUAUAUUGACCCAAGUUCAAGCAAUAAAACCAGAAUUCAAGUAUCAUAAUACUUAAUUAGGACGGUUUACAAGCUUAAUUAGACUUUUCAUUUUAAUAUUUUUUAUUAUGAAUAAGCUCGAGUUUGGAUAUGAACAAUUUUAACUGAGCUCGAGUAUGAAAAUUGAUAAACAAACUCAAGUUUAAAUAUUGAAUCCCAAAUUUUGAGUUGGGCUCGAGUUUGAGCUUGAUACUAUUUUAAGUUUGGCUUGACUCAAUUACGCCUCUUCUAUUCGAGCAUCAUUGUUGAUCAAGUUGAUUUAACCAAUCAUGUGAAUUGACUAAUGUAAUUGGAGUAAUAAACUUUUAAUAUACUAUGCAUGUGAUUCGAUUAUAUAUAUAUAUAUAUAUAUAUAUAUAUAUAUAUAACAUUGAUAAUUUCUCAUAUCCUUUAUUAAAAGCUAAAAGCUAAGUAUGUAAGAACAAAUGCAGCAAAUAAACAUUAUUUUAAAGUAAGAAAGAAAAAAAACAUGUUGAAUAAUGAAAACAAAUAAAAUAAUACAGUAAAUUCAAUUAUUUUUAUCUCUAAUAGAAUAAAAUAUUUUAAUCAUGAUCCCCGAAAAAGCCUUCUAUUUCUAGAUGUGUUAGUAUCAUCCAAACCAUUAGAGUUAUCAUUUUUGUAUGCUAAAUUUGAUUCAGUGUCAAUUUUAUCAUAAAUUAGAUUCAUAUCCGCAUUAUCUCCUUUCGGUUUAAUAGAAUCUUGAUAGAGUUUAAUGAAAUGUUUGGGUGUAUAUCAAGUAUGUGACCAAUGAUAUUUAUACCAUAUUAAUCACAUAAGUUAUUUAUUAUGACUAUUAUUUUUAUGGUUAUUAUUAUGCCAUUGACAAUUUUAAAAUCUUGCAAACUUAGGUGCAUCCAAUUAUAAUGAGUUUUAGAUAGAAUUAUGGUCUUUUGCGACGAUAUUUAUUUUCACAUCUACUCUUUUUUAUAGAAUCUCUAGAACUAACCCAUAACUCCUCCCAAAAUUUUAAAUAAGAGGAUAAUACGCUUUACUGCACUCGAAUCUAUGUCCUCCUACACUGACAACAAUACUAAAUCAAUCGAGUUAAAACUCAAUUCACUUCAUAGUAAAAAUAUUUUUUCUAAUCGCCUUUUAAAUUAUACAAAUUAAGACAAAGCAAUUCAACGUAGAGGAAGCAUGCGUGUGUAUAUUCAAAGGGGAAGCAGAAACAUCAAUCCGAGGCUAUCGACAUUGCUUAAGUGAUACCUAUAAAUUAAAAAACUAUUUUAUAUUAGAAAGUAUUUUUAUAAAAAUAUAAGUGGCAAAAAUUCUUUUAUAUUGUGUUCAAAUCUUAAAUAAUUUUUUUAAUUGUCUUAAUUAAAUAUGUAAAAAUAUAAAAAGAUAAAAAUACUGUUAACUCGUAGUAUUAAUUUAAUUAAUUAUUUUAUAUAUAAUGUACAUAUAUUUAAUUAGUAUUUUUUUUUCAUAUCUAUACAACCAUAAAUGAAAAGAAACACGUGGCAUGCCCAAUAAUCUAAAAAUAAUAAAGAUUGGUAGGUGGUAGACAUGUCUAUAGGCCGGGCGGCCCGGCCCAGCCCGACGGCCCGCCCGAAAUAUGAGAGGGUUCGGGUAAAAAUAUAGGCCUGAAAUAUGAGUUUGGGCAAAAAAAGAGGCCCGUUUAGAAAAUGGGCCGGGCCUCGGGCAGAAUUUUUUUGGCUCGGGCCUGGCCCGACCUGAAAAUAUAUUAAAUAUAUACUUUUAUGUUUAAAAUAUACUAGUUUAAGUUUUUUAUGUUUUAAGUUUUUUAUGUUUAAAAAAUAUAUAUAUUUUUUAUGUUUAAGUUUUUAAAAAAUAUUUUUUUUUAUGUAACAAAAUAUCCUGCACAUGUAUUAAUAUUGGUUGGUUUUAAGAUAAAAAAAAUGUAAACUUAUUUGUUUACAAAAAUAUUUGAUAAUACAAAAAUAUUUGAUAAUACAAAAAUGUAAACUAAUCAAAUGUUAGAUUUUGUUAUAACAAUUAAUACAAUUAACAAUUAAUAAUUUAAUAAUUUUACUAACAAUUAAUUUUAAUAACAAUUAGUUUUAAUUUUAUCAAAAAAAAUUAAUUUUAAUUAAAACAGGCUGGGCCGGGAUUGGGCCCCAUAUUCUUUUCCCGGGCCGGGUCUGGACAAAAUCUCAGGCCCAUAUUUCGGGCCGGGACCGGGCCUAGGAAGCGGGCUGAAAUUUUUUGGGCCCGGCCCGGCCCAUAUACAGGUCUAGUAGGUGGCUUGGCUUCCUAUUUAUUUUAGAUUUGCGUCUGUUUUUUUUACAUCAUAUUCAUAAGGGUUAAUGGCACCAUUGACCCCUGUACUUUGGGGUUUGUUCUUUCAAAAUAUCCAAUUAACCCUCUGUACUUUACUUCCGUUAGCUAAAGUGGUCUCUGACCCAAACGGCGUUACCUUUUUUAUCAUGCGGCGCUUGUACUUUACUUCCGUUAGCUAAAGCUGUUGACUUGAAGGUUGACUGUAGAGACCCUUAUGAGCAAUUAAAUCAUUUUUCAUUUAGAAAAUUAAAAUAAACGAAGGGGCCAGCGAUGCCAAAUUUGAAUGAAAACAUAAGAUAUUUUAUAGCAAAAAAAUAUUUUCCUUGUGGGUUACUUUUUUUUUAUCAUUUUGUUUUCAUUUUUUUCUCCUCUUUCUCUCUUCUCUUCUAGCCGCGGUCAUCAUUGUGUCCAAUCAUCGAUCGGUCAGAUUAAAAAAGAGAGAAGAGAGUAAAUCUGAGCAUAGUACAAGUAUCAAAUUAUAUAAAAAUUAAAUUUUAAAUUUGAGCAUAGUAUAAGUACCAAAACGAAAAACAAAUUAGAAUUAAAAAAAAUUAUGAUGUCAAUGUUUCAUAUUUUCAAUCCCAAAUAAUCCCAUUCCCCUCUCCCAAUUAUCAAAAAAAAAAAUCAUAUUUUGCCUUAAAAAUAACAUUAUGAUGGCAAAGAGCAAUAUGUUCACCUUGUUACAAAAAUUGAAUAUAAAAGCUAGGAUCUGUGUGUUCAAGAUUAAAUUAAACUAAAAAUGAAUCUUACUAAAAUGUAAAUCAAUUAUUAAGAAUAAGGACUAAACAAGAAUUAUACCAAUUCAACAAACAGAGAUAGAAGAACCGACCGAGGUGCUAGAGUAACCAUUUUAAGAAAAGGAAGGGAGUUAAGAUGAAGUAUUGCCUAUUCAUAUGUUUACUCACCAUACAUAAAACAUUAUUUUGAUUUUAGGGUUUAAUACCUCCUAAUUUCAGUCAUUAACUCUAUCUAACAAUCUCAUUAUAAAUUCUGAUCAUAUUUGUUCUUUUUGACACAAUGCCUAAAACUAUCCAUAGUCCCUCCUCAAUGGGGGCGUUGGCAAGGGCUUCGACUCUCCUAAAAUGGAAUUUUUAAAAUUUUAAAUUCGUAAAGGUAAAACUAUACUUUGACCCCUCUAAAAAAUGAAAAAAAGAAAUUGAUAUUUCGGCCCAACUAAAAAAAAAUUCUGGCUUCACCCAUUGCUCCUCAACCCAUGGAUAGGAGGAUAAUAUGUUUCAACGCACUCAAACCAUGUUCUCUUACAUUGAUAUCAAUGUCCAUACUAAUUGAACUAAGACUCAAUCGACAAAGCAUAUACUAGAUUGAAGGUGUGUCGGUUGGCAUAGAUGGUGCCAAAACAGGAGAAAGUAUGAGGAAAACCGAUUGCCCUGGGAGACAUUAUAACUUUUAUAAAAAACAGCUUUGUGACUAUCAACCAGCUUUCGAGAGUGGUAGGUUUAAUAAGAAUGGUAGUUGCAGAAUUAAAUUACGUUAAAGAAAAUGUGGCUCAUAGACAGAUGGAUCCUUCUCGUUUAAGUAAACCAAAUUCAUUCCUAUAAAGCCACCUUCCAUGAUUGGUGACACAAGUUUCAAGCUUUUCUUAUCAGGUUUCCCUCCAUUGUCAAGUGUAAGUUCACCAGUUGUUGCUAGGGAGAAAUCAAAAUGGGGCCAGGUGGACCAGGAGGACCUCCGGGAUGGGGCGGUCCUCCUCCCGGACCGGGUUUUUCCGGUGGCAUUUGUGACUUCAUUGGUUCUUGGUAAGUUCAUUAGGGGUUUGAAAGAUUAUAUUUUGGUAUUUAUAUCCAAAUAUGAAGGAAGCAUAAGAAAUUGUGUAUAUUUUUGCAGUUUGAGCUUUCUGUGUUGCUGCUGGCUGCUUGGAGACUGUUUUGGUGGUCCAAUGGGUCCACCAGGGCCACCUGGACCACCUGGAUUUGGACCUCCACCACCAUAGUUAUA